rnacentral:rRNA from 1 species
GACGAACGCUGGCGGCGUGCUUAACACAUGCAAGUCGAACGGAAAGGCCCUGCUUUUGUGGGGUGCUCGAGUGGCGAACGGGUGAGUAACACGUGAGUAACCUGCCCUUGACUUUGGGAUAACUUCAGGAAACUGGGGCUAAUACCGGAUAGGAGCUCCUGCUGCAUGGUGGGGGUUGGAAAGUUUCGGCGGUUGGGGAUGGACUCGCGGCUUAUCAGCUUGUUGGGGGGGUAGUGGCUUACCAAGGCUUUGACGGGUAGCCGGCCUGAGAGGGUGACCGGCCACCUUGGGACUGAGAUACGGCCCAGACGCCUACGGGAGGCAGCAGUGGGGAAUAUUGCACAAUGGGCGGAAGCCUGAUGCAGCAACGCCGCGUGCGGGAUGACGGCCUUCGGGUUGUAAACCGCAUUCGCCUGUGACGAAGCGUGAGUGACGGUAAUGGGUAAAGAAGCACCGGCUAACUACGUG